AAGGACCCCGGGAGGGGAGUGAAAGAGAACCUGAAACCUUGUGCCUACAAGCACAUAGAGCACAUCAACGUGUGAUAUGGUACUUUUUGUAGAACGGUCCGGCGAGCGAUUGUAUGUUGCGAGCUUAAGGUCUUAAGGACUGGAGGCGUAGCGAGAGCGAGUCUGAACAGGGCGUUCAGUAACAUGCAAUGGGCCCGAAACCGGGUGACCUACCCAUGAUCAGGCUGAAGUGAAAGUAAAAUUUCAUGGAGGGCCGAACCGACCUCCGUUGAAAAGGCGGCGGAUGAAUUGUGGGUAGCGGAGAAAUUCCAAUCGAACUCGGAGAUAGCUGGUUCUCCCCGAAAUAGCUUUAGGGCUAGCCUCAUAUUAGAUACCCGGAGGUAAAGCACUGAAUGGCCUAGCGCCCGAGAGGGUAGCGAAGCCUAUCAAACUAAGAAUGCCGGAGUAUUGAUGUAUGGGAGUCAGACAGUGUGAGAUAAAUCUCAUUGUCAAAAGGGAAACAGCCCAGAUCUACAGCUAAGGUCCCAAAUUGUAUCUAAGUGGAAAACGAUGUGGAAAUACGCAGACAACCAGGAUGUUGGCUCAGAAGCAGCCACUCAUUUAAAGAGUGCGUAAUAGCUCACUGGUCGAGCGUCUCUGCGCGGAAAAUUUAACGGGGCUAAGAUACAAACCGAAGCUUAGGCUGCAUCGUAAGAUGCGGGGUAGGGGAGCGUUGUGUAAGCGGAGAAACAGUAGCGUAAGCGGCUGUGGAGUUUACAGAAGUGAGAAUGCCGGAAUGAGUAGCGCGAAUGUGGUGAGAAUCCACAUGGCCGGAAACCUCAGGUUUUUGGAGGAAGGUUCGUCCGCUCCAAGUUAGGCGGGAGCUAAGGUGAGGCCGAAAGGCGUAGCCGAUGCACAGACGGUAGAGAUUCCGUCCCCACCGAAAGAUUUAAGCACAGGGACACUUUUAGAAGGUCGGAGCCAGGUGUUGGUUCUGGUAGUGAUCGAGGGAAAUUUAGUACCGAAGUCCGGCUGGAUAAGAGGCGAGAAAAGCUGUGUGUAUAUCUAAGGUGCCCGUACCGCAAACCGACACAGGUAGGUAGGAAGAAGAUUCUAAGGCCAACGGGAGAAGGGUUGUUAAGGAACUCGGCAAAUUGACCCCGUAACUUCGGGAGAAGGGGUGCUCCAGAGAUGGAGCCGCAGAGAAUCGGCCCAAGCAACUGUUUACCAAAAACACAGGUUUGUGCUAAAUCGAAAGAUGACGUAUACGAGCUGACGCCUGCCCGGUGCUGGAAGGUUAAAAGGAGAUGUGCAAGCAUUGAAUUGAAGCCCCAGUGAACGGCGGCCGUAACUAUAACGGUCCUAAGGUAGCGAAAUUCCUUGUCAGGUAAGUUCUGACCCGCAUGAAAGGCGUAAUGAUUUGGGCACUGUCUCAACAGCCCGCCCGGCGAAAUUGUAGUACCGGUGAAGAUGCCGGUUACCCGCGACAAGACGGAAAGACCCCAUGGAGCUUUACUGUAGCCUGAUAUUGGGUUUCGGUGUUGCAUGCACAGGAUAGAUGGGACGCUGGGAAAGAGUCGCUUUGGCGUUUCUGGAGCGGACGUUGGGAUACCAUCCUUGCGACAUUGGAAUUCUAACCUGCGCCUCUGAAUCGAGGCGGGGGACAUUGUCAGGUGGGCAGUUUGACUGGGGCGGUCGCCUCCUAAAAAGUAGCGGAGGCGUUCAAAGGUUCGUUCGAUCUGGACGGAAACCAGAUGAAUGAGUGCAAACGCAUAAACGAGCCUGACUGCGAGACUGACGGGUCGAGCAGAGACGAAAGUCGGAGUUAGUGAUCCGGUGGUAUGUGAGUGGAAAUGCCAUCGCUCAACGGAUAAAAGCUACCCUGGGGAUAACAGGCUGAUCUCCCCCAAGAGUCCACAUCGACGGGGAGGUUUGGCACCUCGAUGUCGGCUCAUCGCAUCCUGGGGCUGAAUUCGGUCCCAAGGGUUUGGCUGUUCGCCAAUUAAAGCGGUACGCGAGCUGGGUUCAGAACGUCGUGAGACAGUUCGGUCCCUAUCUGUCGUGGGCGCAGGAUAUUUGAAAGGCGCUGUCCCUAGUACGAGAGGACCGGGAUGGACGAACCUCUGGUGCACCAGUUGUCACGCCAGUGGCACAGCUGGGCAGCUAUGUUCGGAUCGGAUAAACGCUGAAAGCAUCUAAGCGUGAAGCCGGCCUUAAGAUAAGAUAUCCCACUGAGUCAAUCAGGUAAGACCCCUUGA
rnacentral:rRNA from 1 species